rnacentral:snRNA from 1 species
GGAUGUGAGGGCGAUCUGGCUGCGACAUCUGUCACCCCAUUGAUCGCCAGGGUUGAUUCGGCUGAUCUGGCUGGCUAGGCGGGUGUCCCCUUCCUCCCUCACCGCUCCAUGUGCGUCCCUCCCGAAGCUGCGCGCUCGGUCGAAGAGGACGACCUUCCCCGAAUAGAGGAGGACCGGUCUUCGGUCAAGGGUAUACGAGUAGCUGCGCUCCCCUGCUAGAACCUCCAAACAAGCUCUCAAGGUUCUCAAACUUUCUAAUCAUAGCCCACCAUUAUUGGAUUAGCUGGACCACAGCCUGUAAACAUUUCUAAUAAAUCA